rnacentral:tRNA from 1 species
GGGGUUGGCUCAGUGGCAGAGCGCUUGCCUAGCAUGUGUGAGGCCCUGGGUUCGAUUCUCAGCACUACG